rnacentral:lncRNA from 1 species
CAGAUUAAAAACCCUAGCUAACAACUGAAGAUCGAUCUGAUAGCUAACAACCCUAUCAGAUCUCUCUCUCUCCCCUGUCUGAAAUUUGAAAAAGAAAUAAAGAGGAAAAAGAGAGUGAAGAAGUGGGUGAGUGAAGACGAAGACGAAGAAGAAGAAGAAGAAAAGUGGCUCAUCAAAUUAUUCGAUCAAAACCAACAAAAUUCUUCGCCGGCUUUGAAGAAUCAGCAGCCUCUUCAGUUGCCGGUGCCGGAGCCGGAGUCAGUUACCGUGGCUAGCUGUACAAGGUUCAAUGAUAAUUUGGGGAUUGACUCGGUUAAUGGAUCUGUUUUGAAUUUAUUAUAUGUUUAAUCUAUUAAUUCAUCUUCUUUCUCCGUUUUAUCUAUUAGUUCAUCUUCCAUCUGUUAAUGGAUCUGCUCUACUAUUGCUCUACUAUGGUUGUUCUUUUUGGAUUUGUUUCAAGUUUUCUUUUCAGGUUUUGGGUUAUACGUUUGUGGUGAUUUGGUUUCUGAUUCUGGAUUUGAUUUUGGGUUUCAUGUUUUCUCUGUUUAUGUUUCGAUUGGGUUGCUGUUUCUCAUGUUUUUAGCUUUAUUUGUUCUGAUCUUAUUUUGGAUCUGAGAAUCCAGAUUUUCAUGGCUCGACUCGAGGAUGAGUUUCGCAACAUAUUGAUUGCUCACACUAGUCCGAUCGAGACCGACUCGCUUCUCGAUCCAAGCUCAUCGACUCACUUAUCGGACGAUGAUUACAAAGAUCUACGAUUUAUAGAGAGAGAAAGAGGCGGCUUUUGGAAUCUGUGGGUAGCCGAUGAAUAUUGGAUUGCAGAUAUUGAGAUCUUGAUUCUUAAUCUUCAAUAUUUGGCUAUUGAAGAUUUUUGAUGAUUUUAGAUUUUGUUGUUUUAGAUUUUUUGUUGUUUUUGAUCUGAAAUUGUAUAGAUUUUAAAUAGUUUUAUUGUUUUUAUUUAGUUUAAAUGAUUUAUAUAAGUGAUUUGUCGAAUUUUCC